rnacentral:lncRNA from 1 species
UUUGAUUGCUGUAAACUCUACUAAAGAAAGAAGAUCAUGAACCUGAAGAUGAGAGAUGAUUUCCUGUAGUGUAAGUGGAGGAGCCAGGACUUGAACCGCGGCAAUGGGGGUCGGCACCAACAGGCUAAACUGCCUCCCAGGGCACUGGGCACAUCUUUCCUUCUCACCCUUGCACUGUGUCACAAGGGGCAGCAGCUGUCUUUAAUUUCAUGUUUCACUCUCUCAAAAUUUCCCCCUUUUUUAUUUUCUAAAACUCAGCCUACACUGAUUAAUUGCUGUCCCAUGCUCUACUGCCUUUGUCCUGGGUCUCUCUCCUUCUUAGACACCUCCACUUUAAAGCAAUCUGGAAUCCCUGACUUCUCCAGCUCUAUAUUUUUGGCCAGUUUGUCAUCAUUUGCAUAAAGAAGCUCAAAAGACAGCCUGGGGGCAUGCCACACCCUCCUACAAAGGGGCAGGAGGAGAGACACAAUUCUCAUCACACAUUUUCAAGUUUCUAGAAGAUGCCUCUGCAAUACUUCAGUACGGAGCACACACUUCCUGAACUACUCCAAGUGGAAAUGAUUUCACCUUUCUCUGAAUCUUUAUAGAAUGUGUUUCUGUUUCUAUUGAUUUGACCCUAGUAUUUAACCAUACAAAGCGAAUGGUAGGUGUGUUGCCUUUAGCAAGUUAUUCAUCACUUUGUACCUUAGUUUCUUUCUCUGUAAAAUGGAGAAAAUAAUAUCUACACUUCAAGGUCGUGGGAGGGAUUAAAUAACGCAAGAUACCUAUUAAUACUUGGCAUACAGUUGACAAUCAUUAGUCAUGAGUUCAUCUUGAAUCUGAUUCUGAAGGCAGAAUAUGUAUCUUUCCUCAUACCUGCAGUGUUGAGUCAUUGUAUUAGUCCUGAGGAAGUGACUGGAAAAGAAGUCUCAAUUUCACUGCCAAAGAAAUAAUUGGAUCAAGGUUACAUAGCGUAUUUAAAAAAAAAAAAAAACAACUCAAGCAAACAAACAAAAUAAAUGUGUGCAUGCUUAUAACCCUCUUAUGCAUGAUUUCCAGGUCAGACAUUUCUAAAUGUAGCCUUCUGUGGACACCUUUGAGCACUGAAUGACAGAUGGCAUAGAGUGAUGGACAAGGAAAUGGACCCAGAUAGGAAAUCUGGGUUCUAACCAUUCCUCCCUAGCUACGUGACCCAACUUAAGGUACUUAUUUUCCUUAGGCUCAGUAGGUCUUUUUUUGUUUGUUUUUGUUUUUUUAUCCUUUAAAUGGGAAAUACUAAAAAAAAAAAAAAAAAGCAAAACAAAAACAAAAACAAAAACAAAAACACCCAACAACCAAACAAUAGGGAUUUCUGCUUGCUUCAUAGAUUGGCUGUGUCAAGAAAGAUAACCUA